GAUGAACGCUAGCGGCAGGCUUAAUACAUGCAAGUCGAGGGGCAGCACGGGUAGCAAUACCUGGUGGCGACCGGCAAACGGGUGCGGAACACGUACGCAACCUUCCCGAAACUGGUGAAUAGCCCUCCGAAAGGAGGAUUAAUACACCGUAAGAUAAUGGAGUGGCAUCACUCUAUUAUUAUAGCUACGGCGGUUUUGGAUGGGCGUGCGCCUGAUUAGGUAGUUGGCGGGGUAACGGCCCACCAAGCCUGCGAUCAGUAACUGGUGUGAGAGCACGACCAGUCACACGGGCACUGAGACACGGGCCCGACUCCUACGGGAGGCAGCAGUAAGGAAUAUUGGUCAAUGGACGCAAGUCUGAACCAGCCAUGCCGCGUGAAGGAUGAAGGCCCUCUGGGUUGUAAACUUCUUUUAUAUGUGAGCAGUGCUUCUUAUAUUAACAGUAUGGGGAGAGAGAUAUUAGCAUAUGAAUAAGCAACGGCUAACUCCGUG
rnacentral:rRNA from 1 species